UAUGGUCGGUAUCAUCCGCGGAAGGAAUAGGUGAGGCGGCGGCAUCUGUACCCCAGAUGACCCACUAUCCGAAGAAGUAGGAGCUGGAGUGGGCGCCCGGUGUAUCUCAGGCAUACGGGGUGCAGACACCUCCGUCUGAGGCUGAGCAAACAACUGCCUCGAGGAAUGAGGGAAGCCCCGCUGCCUCGAUGAAGGGGGCACCUCCGGCUGCCUCUGAGCCGUCUCCAGAAGGCUCGCACGUCUGGCUGUCAUCUGGCCCUGAAACGUCGUUUGGGGGUUGCUAGAGGUUCCCUCAGACGAUUCAGAUCUUUGGCCCUUCGAACUCUUCUUCGAUCUAAAAUAGCCGCUCAUCCUAUUUAAAAUAUUAAUUUGAAUCAAGGCUGAGGUAACAUUGAAAAAGUAAAAAUUCAAGCUUAUCCUUCUCAAAUCUAAGGCUUUAGAUUAUUUUGUCUUUAUUGUAUAAAAAUAUUUUUGAAACCAUAUUUUUUCAUUAUGUCCAUGCUUAAAUUUAAACACUUAAUAUAAUGUGAAAUAUAUAUGUUUUAAAAUUAUACUUAUUCAAAAAUAUGAAUUCAAUAAAAUAUAUAUAUAUAUAUAUAUUCAUCCGGAUUUGAUAUAAGUUUUUCUAUUUUGAUUUUGAUUUUAUGUUUAUAAGUUUUUCUAUAUUCAUCCGGAUUUGAUAUAAGUUUUUCUAUUUUGUAUUUUGUAUUUUGUAUUUUAUGUUUUUCUACAAGUUCAUUAUCAACAAAGCAUAUCUUUAAAAAAUAACGAUAAUUUAUCUCCUAAACAUAAAUUAGAGAAAUUAGACAAUACAUAAAACAUAAAUAAAAAAGAAAUUAGACAAUAAAAAUAAAAUCACAUUAACAAAAAAUUAAAUUAAUAAACAAAAAAUUCUUCGUCAGAAAUUUUCUAAAGUCUGGAAUUUACCGACAAAUUAUUUCCAGACACCGAUCUGCUCACAACAUUCAAUUCCCAACACCUAAAACACCAGAUUUGAUUUUCCUCCAAAUUAUUCUCAACUUUAAAUCCUUGACUCUCUAAUCAUCCAAUUCCUACCCGCUUCAAUUUUUCCAAGCUCAAAUCUACUCAAAAUUGUACACACACUCCCAAAUUGGAAAACCAAAUCUUAACAAAAAACAAUAAACCCCAAACAAACCCAGCUAAACAAUCCAAUCAAUUUCCACAUUCCACGGUCCCCAUUGAACAAUCAUGCAGCUUGUUUGAAUUACACAAUAAACAAGAGGAAAAAAAAAAAAAAAANAAAAAAACUUAACCUA
rnacentral:lncRNA from 1 species